GCCAGGUGCAAUGGCACAUGCCUGUAGUCACAGCUAAUUGGGAGGCUGAGGUAGGAGGAUGGCUUGAGCCUAGGAGCUCUGGGCUAUAGUGCCCUAAUGCUAACUGAGUGUUUGCACUAAGUUUAAUAUAAAUAUGGUGACCUCAGAAGCAGGGACCAUUAGGUUGUCUAAGGAGGGAGGUACUGACCCAGGUUGGAAACGGAGCAGGUCAAAACUCCCACGCUGAUUAGUAAUGGGAUUGUGCCUAUGAAUAGCCAUGGCACUCCAUCCUGGGCAACAUAGUGAGACCCCCUUCC
rnacentral:SRP_RNA from 1 species